rnacentral:rRNA from 1 species
CCUACGGGUGGCAGCAGUGAGGAAUAUUGGUCAAUGGGCGGGAGCCUGAACCAGCCAAGCCGCGUGAAGGAUGACGGUACAGCGUAUCGUAAACCUCUUUUGUCAGGGAACAAAGUCGGGGACGCGUCCCCUUAUGGAUGUACCUUAAGAAAAAGCAUCGGCUAACUCCGUGCCAGCAGCCGCGGUAAUACGGAGGAUGCGAGCGUUAUCCGGAUUUAUUGGGUUUAAAGGGUGAGCAGGCGGUCUGUUAAGUCAGCGGUAAAAGUCCGGGGCUCAACCCCGGCGAGCCGUUGAAACUGGCAGUCUUGAGUGGGAGAGAAGUACGCGGAAUGCGCGGUGUAGCGGGGAAAUGCAUAGAUAUCGCGCAGAAAUCCGAUUGCGAAGGCAGCAUACCGGCGCCACACUGACGCUGAGGCACGAAAGCGUGGGUAUCGAACAGGAUUAGAUACCCCAGUAGUC